rnacentral:rRNA from 1 species
AUGUCUGGUGCGGUUGUGACGCCGCAGCCGGAGGUGGUGGAAGAGGGGCAUCGGUCGUCGCCGACGCCGGUGAAGUGCGGGCUCCUCCGCACCAACUCCCCAGUGGCGCAGGUGUGCCUGAUCGGCCUCGUGUGCUUUUGCUGCCCUGGCAUGUUCAACGCGCCCUCGGGCAGCGGUGGCGGUGGCCAGAACCACUGCCGCUCCAUGGCGUUUCCCGUCGCCGCAGGGGCCAUCCUCGGCGCCGGCGCGGGCCUCCUCUGGGCUGCCCAGGGUGCAAUCAUAACCGCCUACCCGCCUCCGAAGCGCCGCGACACCUACAUCUCCAUCUUCUGGUGCCUUUACAAUUUUGGAGGCGUCUUUGGGGGCCUCUUCCCCUUCUCACUCAACUACCACCGUGGCAGCGAUGCCGGUAGCGUCAACGACGGCGCCUACGUCGCAUUCAUGGUGUUCAUGCUCCUCGGAAGCGCGCUCGCCCUCCUCAUCCUACCGCCUAGCAAGAUCACCCGUGACGAUGGGAGCAAGAUGCUUCUUGUGCUCCCCGCGGCUUGGGACAGCAACUUCUUCUACACCUACCAGUUCAACAAUGUCAACGGCAUCCUCUUCAUGCUCCGCACCUAG